UUUCCAUUAAAAAGCAAAAGUGCUGCUGAGGUAGCUCAUCAGUUGUGCUCAAUCAUAUAUAGACGUGGCUGCCCAAAACGAAUUUUAUCCGACCAAGGAAGGGAAUUUGUUAACGAGGUAAGUGUUAAGUUUACUUUUCCAUACCUCUUUAGGUAAAUACUUGGCCACAGUGUGCCAAGUAGCUGCCAGGCCAAAGGUUUUGUGUGAUUGUUUUUAAAAAAACAAUUUUCUUUUUUCUUUGAAGCUCAACUCAAGACUUUGCAGCUUAAUGAAAAUAGAAAGAAGUGUCACAGCAGCGUAUCACCCUCAGACAAAUGGCCUCGACGAAAAGACAAAUGACAACAUAAAAAGGGGUCACGGUGGCUUUCUGAUGAGGUCAUUGAUGCAUACCUGCACCGUGUCAUUGAGAGACGAAAGGUAAUGAAGUGAGAUCGAUCAAUAAACGACGGAGGCUCCAGAAAAGUGCAAUCAAACGAUGAGUUUAUUAACACAGGAGAACAACCAUCAGCAUAUGGCCUGUUUUGCUCUGACAGUAAUACACUGGGUUCUGGUUUUAUAGCAUAGAGGAUCACGCCCCC
ensembl:lncRNA